rnacentral:misc_RNA from 1 species
GAACUGCGAAAAGUAAUGUGACCUGCAAACUUUGUGAAACAUCCAGUCUUUGAACGCAAUUUGCACCUGGUGGCGCUUGCCAGCAGGUAUGCCUGUUUGAGAGUUUCUAACUAUUUCUACAAAGUAGGAGUUGGGUGAUGCUCGUUUGAGUCGCCUGAAAAUCAGGGUGCAUACGAUUUGCUGGAAUAAACUUGCAGCAAAUGAGCACAGCGUGAUUAUCGGGGUUGCAAUCUGCGUCGCAGUUGCGUGACUCCGACAACCACAAGUUCCGACGAUACCUCAAAUCAGGCAAGGAGACCCGCUGAAUUUAA